rnacentral:lncRNA from 1 species
UCGAGCAUGUGAGAAGUUGUUUUUCAAUCUGCUGGAACUGGUAAGCCUCAGCUUAGGCUUACCUCCUACGAGGUUGCAUGGAUACUUCGAGAAUCAGGCAAGCUUUGCCCGGCUCAACUACUACGCUCCGUGCCCCAAACCGGACCUUGUUCUUGGCACCGGUGGACAUAGGGACCCCAGCGCUCUUACCGUCCUUGCUCAAGAAGAUGUUGAAGGCCUCGAUGUGCUGCGAAAAUCAGACGGAGCGUGGGUUCGCGUCAAGCCUGUCCCGGAUUCCUUUGUCAUCAACGUUGGUGAUGUUCUUCAGGUACUACAUCUCUUGAGCAAAUGUUCAUCCUGUUAACAUUAUUCGAUUAAAAACUUUGGUUUCUUGGCAGGUAUGGAGCAAUGAUCUUUACGAAAGCGUCGAGCAUCGAGCCAUGGUGCACGCAGAAACGGAGAGGUAUUCGAUCCCCAUAUUUUUUCACCCAUCUCACGACAUAACAAUGAAGCCGUUGGAUGAAUUGGUCGACGAAAGAAGCCCGGCGAAGUAUCCAGAAUACAAGGCAGGGAAGUGGUUGAAUCUGAGGAUGUUUAACAAUUACAAGAAACAUGGCUUCUAUAUGCGGAUGACUGACUACAAGAUUGCUGCUUAGCCGGCGGAUUUCUAAUCCAACGGCUUAUACUAUGUAUGAUUCUCCAAGUUCUAGUACGGAUUAUAUGGUAAAAUAAAACGAAAAGUUUGUAAAACCAGACCGUUUAUUACACGAGUAAACGUUGUAGUUUUACGUAUUUAGGAACUGAAUCGUAGCUAUUGAGCUCAGAAAGUUCGAUAUUGUGAGAAUGUCGUAUGUAAACAAGAGCACACAUUGCAAAAGAGAUGCAGGCAGCGACCUACGUUGCUAUACUACAUUAGAAUUAGCCCUUCGAUCCGAUGGCAUUUCCACGCUUGAUUAAAAUGACACGGACAUUGUCUUAAAUUAUCAUUCUACUUCUGAAAAGUACAAAUAUGUGUGAGAAUCUGUUCUUGCCUCUCAACUAGCAUUAGAAGAACACAUACCCGUUUCUAACUACUACAGCGUUUCAUUAGCAAGAUGACUCGUAGAUGUGUAUUUACGCAUUCAAACUGUUCCGAUGUUGCUUGCUUGUUAAGGAAGAAUAUAUACAACACUGACAUCUAGAGUGAUUACUUACAACGGCAAGGGGUGCAAACUCUGGGAUGACCUGCGGGAACUUUCUGCCGGACUGAAAGCACCAGAGAUUCCUUGGCAUGAUCUGCCCCCGACCUCUCAACUAGACUGAUUUUUAAGUUAGGGAUGUUGCUGUUUUCAAGCACUCAAGUGCAGGAUGCAGUAUAUAGCUCAUAAUAAAAUAUAAUCAUAGCUAAAUUAGUUUCUUUUGUCUUCAAGUUCUUCUAGCCACCUGAACAAAGUAAUCAAACAAAAAUAGCGAAACACAUAACCAGGGAUAUAUGUCAAUAAACACAAACAUACAAGGAAUGAAAUUUUCUUGGGCUGCAAAGAAACAACGGUACUGCAAAGAAAUUAUUCGACUUGAUAUGUCAAUGUAUAAGAGCAAAAUGUAAUGAUAACAACGAAAAUACAAUGCAAGCCUUACAGCAUCCUCAUUUGCAUUGGUAACUUCUGAUGCCGAUGUGUCCACAGAGGCUUUUUUCCCCACCUUUCGUUUCUGCUACAUCCAAAACUACAGAGUUAGCAUAACAUCAUUGGAACAGGGCAAAGCAUUCAGAGUGCAACUUUCACAAUUCACAGGAACACACUGCACGCACAAAAAGACAAUAAUUUUCACGCUAUAGUUGAAUGUUGUCAAAUGGUAUUUAGACUCCUGGGUAGCAUGCAUUGGAAACUUUAAUGAAUGAUGCAUCGGAUAAAUAUGAGACCAUAUACAUCCAUAAUAAAUUUGUAUAUAAUGAACGUUGUACACAAAUCCAUUCCAAGCUUGUGUCUCAUAAGAACACAUCCUUUAAAGAAACAACGUAGAUUGUUACUCACUAUCAACAACGUUGCAUCAAACUGUGGGUGUGGUGAUGGUUGAACAAGAGGUAGUUCCAACAUCUAUAGAAAACUAAAACAUAUAUCUAGUUUAUGACUAAAACUAACUACAUGGAGGUGGAAAUGAUACUUUCAUCCAAGUCCACUUAAGAUUUCAACGAUAUAGCCACUUUUUGAGGGAAUGGUAUAACCAGUUAAAAUUGUAAAUGUCAAACAAUAUAAACUGAAGUUGACAUAUGCAAGCUAAUAAAGCAUUCAUAGUAUUUCACUCUUACCCUUUCCUCCAGUGAAACAUCACUUAUAGUUUCCCAGCUCUCACUUUCCAAGCAUACUAAUUUUUAUUUUUUUUUAUCUUAUUUUUUUACUAAGUCAAGGGUAUCCCAAAGGCUUCCAAGGAAGCCCGAGGACUAAUCCCUCUGGCGCAUGUGAAAUGCUCCAACUGUGCAUUGCAGCACAGUGCCUGGCCACUUUGACAGCUUCGGGGUUCGAACCUAGGCUGGGGAGCAAACCCAACUAGGCAAGAACCAUUAGGCCACUUGGAGUGGUUUUCCAAGCAUACUAAUUGAACGUCGCAGCUACUAUCACAUGUGAUCUGCCAGUAUGAUGGGAAAUUAAUCACAAUAAUUCAGAUCAAGCAGUACAGCGAUGGUUUUGAUAAAUACACAACGUAUCCAGCUUACAACGCAUUAAAGAUGAAACAAAAGCAACGAAAUUUAAUCUCUAAAAACUUUCCACAUAGUUUACUGUAUCAUUGAAAUAGUUGUUUAAAAAUGGAAAUAAAAAAUAUAGUCAUAUUUAGUCACCUUGUACGUAUUGUUUUGAGUGUUAUAACCAUCCACUGUACCUGGAUAAAAACUGGUAAAGAAAAACAAAUAUUGUUAUAAACAAGGGCUAAAACAAUGCUGAAAAUCAUCUCCUAACAAGGUCUAAAACAAUGCUGAAAAUCAUCUCCUAACUGGGGGAAUGCUCACCAUUUAUCUACUGGAGACAAAAAUUUGAUCCUUUGCCCAAUCAAUGCCUCAUCCUUCUCACUAAUUUCCUACAUAAUUAAUUAUAAAAUAUUUCUAAGGACACAGUAAUCUCAAAAAUGUAAUACAAUUUCAAGUGUAUUCUCAGAAAGAGCUUAUUCUUACUUUCCAGCUGCAAGGGCCCCUUAGCUUCGUUCUGGGGUGAUUGGAAUGUUCCACGUUAAUGUUUCUUUUCACAUUAACAUUUUCCAUCAAUCGAAUGUUAUUUUUUUUCAAAUUCUGGACUGAGACAUUUGAUCCACAGAUUGUAGCUACAGAAUCACAAGAUGAAAGUAUUUCUUUUUCCAAAGUAAUCCCAGAUUUUUUGGAUACACCAUUCUGGUAAUCAUUAACAGAAUCACUUGGAGAGAGAUCUCGUUUUCUCCUACGUCCUCCUGUACUGGUGCCUUGUUUCUCAGCCUUCCGGGGUUCAGCUCCCCCAUCACUGGACAAAUUAACUAUCUUGGAAGAUGUUAAGAUAAGUUUGUUGUCCUUGAAAACACUGGAUUGUGUGCUAUCCUCUUGACACUUACGCCCACGUCUAGGAAGAGCACUGGCAGGCUGAAACGUGAAGAAAGAGUUUCCAACAAAAUGUUUAUAGGAAGAAUAUAUCAUUAAGAAAAUCAUAGGGGCAAUAUAACUAAAGCUGUAAAGGAAAACUGGAGAUACAUACCAAAGAGAUAUUUGAUUUAAAUAUGUCAACUAACCUUUUGAAGAAGUACUCACCAAAACAUGAUUGAUUGAGGCAUCUUGAAUUGGACUGCACAGAACAGAUAAUAAAAAGGUGAAAUAAUGUGGAACAAUUAACUAGAAAUUUAAAUUUCUUCCAGCCAAAAGAUAAAGAAAAGAAUAUCAAAUCUUAUUGAAAACUGCUCAUCACUUUUAUUAGAGAUACUUACUUUAUAUAAGGAUGAUGGUAGAAAAACUUUCCCAGGAGCAUGUGAUGCGGAGAUGCCAUUAUGAUUUGUUAACGUCACAAAAGAGUUCCCAAUUUUCUGCCAGAAUAUGCAGCUUCUGCAUAACAAGAAAAACCUCCGUUCCUUAAUUAAAAAACAUAAACAUAAAGUGAAGAGGAGAAAAUAUCUUCUGAAGGAAAACUCUUACACCAGUUAGUUCAACGUCUAUAGCAUCCUCAGCCCUCUUAAUUGCAUGGAAAAUGAAAAUCAAAUACAAGACAGAAUCCUUGGUAAUAUCCAGAGUACCAGCAGCAUUACUGGCAUUGACGAAAGCCUGCAAUAAAACUAACAGUGGACUGCAAAGAGAAACAUAAUCCAAAGUGUGUCAGCAUAGCUGCAUUCAUAUUCAGUACUAGGCAAUCUCCAAUAUUAUCUGGAUAUAUUUACAUACCUGCAAAACUGAGCAUAUGCAUUUUCAUCUUGACAGUCGUCAGGUGGGAAGCCUGUAUCAUGAGCAAGAAUAUGGAUAAAUCUUUUUGUCCAAGUUACUUCUUUUUUUGUCCACGUUUCUUCUCUUUUUGUCUAACUCACUUCCUUUUUUUUUUGUGAGUUUUGGGAACAUCCCCAUUCAUAGGUCCGAGAUCCACAUCUAUGAAUUGAAAGGUCUUGCAAUCAGUUGUUAGAAUCAAUAGGUCUUCAAAUCUUUCAUUUGAAAAAAUUGAAACACUUCUUAUUGGAUGAUCAUGAUACUUCCCAAAAAUCAAAAUUCUUGAUCAAUGGAGGAACAAUAUCACCAUUUUUGUUCAAUAAGAUACCAGAGUGGAUGAUUGACUCAUUCCAUACUAGAAAUAAUCGCAGGAAAUCUUUUGAUAACAUGGAUUCCUGUUUCUCAAUAAUAUCCCACGAUCAAGACAAUUGGCCACCACUAUGUAUGCUGGAAAAUCAGUGUUUAAUCCUUCUUGGACUCCAGAGAUUUGACGCACUUGAGCUUCUCUACUGUAAUCCUUGACAAAUUCUGCAAUAUAUUUUGACGACUAAAUUGAAUGGUAUCAGAAUACAUUUACUUGCUCAAGCAUACAGAAAUAACUCAUAGAUAGAUACAGCAUAUUUAGCAUACAUCAUCCUGCAGAUCCUUGAGGCAAUCUGAGGUGGCCAUUGCGAAAGCACUUGCAUAUCUGCUAGGUAUGGCAUGCUCCUUCAGUAAUUUGUGUGUUUUAUCAAGAAGUGAUCUUCUCACCAAUGAUGAGUCAUCCUGAAAUGUGUAAGAAGGAAAAGAAAAAUGACCGUGAACAUAUAAUUAGUGGCAAUUCAAGAGUGACAAUGAAAUCAAAUCUGAAGAAACUGAAGAAUAUAUAAAUAUUACCGGAUGCAAGUCAACUAACUGGAUUAAGCAUUACUGGUGAUUGAUAGAUGCAUAACACGCUUAUUGCAGUCUCAUGCCAUCUAUUUUUUUAAUAAAUUUUAUAAAGUGCAUUUCUUUUACCAUUUGUCAAUCAGUCUAUAAAUGGGACAGCUCACUAGAAAAAUCAGUGAAUCUUAUUAAGUUCGCUAAAGACACAUUUAUACUUUAGCAAUAAACUAUCAUGAGCUCCAGGGACCAGAACCUCAAAUUCCAUCAGGAUUCAGGAAUAUGUUUCCAUUAGCUUUACAGGAAAUGAAGUUCGAACAAGAAGUCCACCGGAAUAACAGGUAACCAAGAAAAAUGAAGGACAACACUAGGAUACACAAAUCAGAACCAAACAUAAAUACCUUUGCCCUUAAAAUUAUAAAGUGAAAAAUCUCUGGAGAAAUAUGGAAAUCCCAUCUUUGAGCAAGCCGGAGAACAGACUUUGCAGCAGCUAAUCUAAUACAAGCCUUAUCACUUUCACUGCAAUAAAAAAUAAGUGAAACCAAAUGAGUGGUGUUUGAAAAUACUUAUCACAUUCACUGAACACAGAUUUUAAAAGCACCAAAAAAAAAAAGCAGAAAACUGUAGCCUUUUUAUUCAGUUGUGUGUUGCUCAAAAUUGCCAUUCACAAUAAUGAGCAUCAGUCAGAGACUCACAAUAAAAGCCUAAACAAACAGUUGAGAAUCUCCUUUCUGAACGUCAAAGUUUCCAAAGCAUCCCUCUUCCCAUAUUUAGCAGAAGUCUGGAAGCAAAAGAAUUGUAACAAUAAACUCAACUACUAAUGCAGUCAUGCUUAUGAAAACAAAACCACAUUUUUUACUGCUUCAUUCAAGCACCACAGAGAUUCUAGUCAAAAGCUGAGACGAUAUCCAAACACAUGUAGUAUAAGCUAAAAAAAGAGCCCGAGCGCGAGGCAGAGAUAUAUAAUUAAAUGAGUUUCGUUAAUUUGACCUUCAAUUCACUUGAGCCAGAACGAAGAAUUAAACCCACAUAAAAGUUAAGGACAAGCUCAUACAGUUUUAAAACUUUCUAUUUGAUGACAGAAUCUGAAAUCAUACCCUGAGGUGAUACCCUCUGCAGUUUCUCCCUUUUGCAGCAUUGUGGACAAAAUGCCACAGAGCUCAUUAAUUUGCCGUUUAGUUGUCCUUGAGCUCAUUAAUUUGCUGUUUGGUGUGAGUUCCCCGGUGUGGCAAGAAGCUCUUGACAAGUGUUUUCAGGCCAUAUGUCUGCAAAAUAAAUGUUUAGAGAAACCAAUGGAACUAUCAAGUAAGUAUUUGGUUUGGUGUAGAAAAAUGCACUGUGAGGAUCGGUGUACUUCUAAGCCCAAGAAGUAGUGUAAAGGACCAAGAUCCUUUACUGGAAACUGAGAACUGAGUUGUUUAAUAAACUGUUGACAGAGGUGAGAGUUUGGACCAGUCACAAGAAUGUCAUCAACAUACACUAGGACAAUAACCAAAUGAGGACCAUUGAGAACAAACAAAGAUGCAUCAGAGGAUGAUUGAUUGAAUCCAAGAGAAUGAAGGGCUUGAUAGAGUUUGUCAAACCAGGCUCGGGGGGCUUGUUUUAGUCCAUAUAACGAUUUUCUCAACUUACAAACAUGACUAGGAGAAGUAGGAUCAACAAAUCCUGGAGGUUGUUGCAUGUAGACAUCCUCCUUUAAGUCCCCAUGAAGAAAAGGAUUGCUUAUAUCCAAUUGAUUGAGAAACCAAUUAUAUUGGACAGCAAGAGUAAGGAGGAUGCGAAUUGUAACCGGCUUUGCAACCGGACUAAAGGUCUCUUGGAAGUCAAUACCCUCUUGUUGAUGAAAACCCAACUACAAGGCGAGCUUUGUACCUAUCAAUAGUACCAUCAGCCUUUUUCUUAACUCAAAACACCCACUUACAGCCAACUAAAUUUUGAGAAGGAUGAGAGGGGAUGAGUGACCAAGUACCAGUAGAUAUCAAGGCAUUGUAUUCAUCUUGCAUGGCUGCUCGCCAGUGAGCAUGCUUAGAAGCUUGCAAGUAAGUACUGGGAACAUAAUCAAGAUCAACAGGAAGAGGAUGUUUGGUUGCUGCAUAAACCUGAGACUUAGAUUUACAUAUGCCAGCCUUGGAUCUUGUAAUCAUGGGAUGAGAAUUAAUGGGGAUAGGAGGAUGACUUGGCAAACUGUGUGGCAAAGGUGAGGGUUGAUAGGAGCAUAUUUAUGCGCCUUAGUUAGCUAGUUCUUAUGCAUUUUCGUUAUGUUUUCUUCGUUAAAGUAGUCUUUUAAGCUACUUUCAUGUGUUUUCAGGUUAAAGGACGUAUUACAUGAAAUGAUGCAAGUUGGAGCUUUUGGAGCAAGAAAGUGAGCUUGGAUUGAAAAGGACAUGCUUGGAACACAAGGUUGGGAUGGAAUUGAAGAGUUGAAGAUUUGAGGUUUCCUACUUGAUGUAGGAAAGCUAAGCCUAAAAGUUUCCAUUUUGGGUUGAUCUUUCCUAAACCGGAAUUGGCAACCAAAGUUUCUAAAAGUUGGAAUUUUCUAUCUUGGAGGUUUCCAUUUUCGUGAGUUUCUAUUCUUGGCUUUGGGCUUUUAGACGACCUAAACCCGAACUCCUUGUGGACCCUAAGCCUAUGCCGCACCUUUCCAUUCUAGAAGGCCUUUUUACAAACCCUAGCCUAGCCCACUUAUGCCGAACCCUGGGUAUAGUCACUUAUGAUUUAAAAAAAAAAACUAAUUAAAAAAACUUGAAAACUUUGAGUUUUAACGAUAAGGACAAAAUAAAGGGUAAAAUGAAUAGUAGCAGGAUUGAUUUUUUAGUGUAAAAAUAUGAUUUUUCGUUAAAAUAAACAGUACCGGAAAUUUUUCGUUAAAAUUCCCUUUAAAAAAAUUGCAUCAUUGAUCUCCAACGACUAAUUAAUCUUGAAUAGUAAAUUUGACUUUAAAAAUUUAUCACUUGACAAUUUGAAAGAGUAAGCUGUUGAAUUCUUGAAAAACAUAACAAAAAAGCAGCAGGACUCCGUUAUUUUUUAUAUUGUAAUUUGACAUCUUCUCUUUUCUCUCUCUAUCAUAUGUUUCCCCUUUAGUUUAUAAGUAUCACAUUUAUGAGUUUAAUAUAUUAAAUCCAUAGUAUCACAAAAUUUUUGGCUCACUAUAGGAGUUUGAUUUCUAGAUGAGUGUAAUAUAUUGAUAUCACACCUACUUUUUUUGACAAAUCGUAAAAGGCCUUAUGAACACUUUAAAAUGUUAUCUUGCACUCAUCCAUGCACAAUUUUAAUAACGUUGGAACCAUCUUCUUUUUCUUGGUAAAUAAUGGUGAUUAAGAUUUGGAAGACAACUUUAUUAUUCUUAAAAGUGAAGUGAAGAAACUUCUAUUAGUGUGGGUCUUAACUCUUUUAAUAAGUGGAUUAGUAGUCAUGCAUGACGCUGUCCUUUUAACGUUUGACUUGGUCGGCAGACCGCCAUUAAGCCUUUUUAUUUAUUAAUUAAUCGACUUCGUAACGUACCACUCCAAUUUAUUAGUCUUUUUACUGGUUAACAAGAAGAAGAAGAAGAAGAUGUUUGUUAGUCUACAUACAUUUGCCCAUACCAAACGCUUUGCCCAAAGUUUGUGGACAACAACCUUAAUUCAUACGAUAGCAGACUAAUUUAUCUGUUUCAAGCACAUUAUUUUGUACUCUGGGACCCUGGUAGAAAAGAAAAACCAAACUAUAAUACCAAAAAUUAAAAAAAAUGAGCAUUGUUUCAGCUAAUUGAUCACAGUAAUCUUUUUACCGUUUUAACACAAGAGUUUAAAUAAUAUAUAGAAUAUAGUAGUUUAAAAUAUUGCAAAACUUGUACUUGUCCAUCGAUUUUAGUUAUUAGAAAAGACAAAAAAAAAAGGGACUAAACCCUGGUAGAAAAGAAAAACCAAACUAUAAUACCAAAAAAUAAAAAUUAUGAGCAUUGUUUCAGCUAAUUGAUCACAAUAAUCUUUCUGCCAUUUUAACACAAGAGUUUAAAUAAUAUAUAGAAUAUAGUAGUUUAAAAUAUUGCAAAACUUGUACUUGUCCAUCGAUUUUAGUUAUUAGAAAAGACUAAAAAAAAAGGGACUAACCCUGGUAGAAAAGAAAAACCAAACUAUAAUACCGAAAAAUAAAAAAUAUGAGCAUUGUUUCAGCUAAUUGAUCAUAGUAAUCUUUUUGCCGUUUUAACACAAGAAUUUAAAUAAUAUAUAGAAUAUAGUAGUUUAAAAUAUUGCAUAACCUGUACUUGUCCAUCGAUUUUAGUUAUUAGAAAAGACAAAAAAGGAAAAAGAAAAAAGGAUUAACAUGCUACAAUAUUCUAGUAUUGUGAUCCUAAUCAUACUUUGUUUGAUUUGAAAUGAGGAAACUAUGUUCUUCUUGGAAACAUAAAAUUGGUAAAAAUCCCGUUUUAUUUUGUAUAUUUAUAGGGUUUAUCAACACAUCAACAUCGUUUGUUGCAAUACUUCCCAUGCCUCACCAAAAUUCUCUGGUCCUUUGGUUGAUUAAAAGUUUCAGGGCAGUUGAAGCUUAACUGUAACAAGUAAUAAGACUUAUUAAUGAAAUAUUCUGGAGAAUGGACCAACUUUACUACCGUCAAUCGCUCACAUGAGCGUAGAUGAAAACUGACCCGAGCAUGCGUAGAUGAAAUUUGACCAUUUGAUGCAUUAGCAUACCUGUUGGAACACAUGGAAUGUCAACAGAGUCCAUCAGAAAACUCUAUUCUACGAUGCAUGUCCAGUCGAUGAUGACCGGAGAUGCCAAGGAUAAUAAGCAUCAAAGUCCGAUAAGAAAAUGGCGUACACGAUGCUCCUUUGAUUGUGUUACACUUCAGUCCUAUUUUCUUCUUUUGACUUUUGAAUGUGUUUCGAAUAGAAAAAUCAUGAGUAAAUUGUAAGAUUAUGAGUAUGAAACAUAUACAAGAACUGGUUGUAGUGUUUGAGAUUGAUAUGGAAAAGUCUUGGUUAAAAUUGUUUAGGUUGUCCUUAUUGUUUUAGGAUAGCAGAGUUGAGAGAAGUUCCAAUUGGUUUUAGAAAAGAACUUAGUGUUGGAACUUCACAAGGUCUCGUAAUUCUUUAUGGUUUGUAUGAGCUUGAAUCUCAGUCCAAUUCUGAUAGGGAAUGGACAAAGGAGCACUAUAUAUUUAUGGUUCAAACCACUGCUCUUGUGAUACUAGCUUAUGUUGUUCUAAGUCCUAUUGAUUAGAGAAGCUAUUGUGAUCGUAAAAGAGGAUGGCAAUCCACAUGGAUGGGUCUCAAGCAUUGAUGGAUAAUUUGUUUCGUUGAUUUGGAGCCAAGGAAUUGCAAUCAGGUUGACGAAUAUGGGUCCAAUGAUGCAUUCAGGUAACUCACUUCACUAUUUCCUGCAUGAUUAAUUGUUCUCCUAUAUGCAUGGUUAUAGUGCGAUGAGUUGGAGCAUAAUGAAUUAGGGUUUUUGCUAUUUUGAGUAUGCUUAUUUAUUUAAAUAUAUUGUGAAGGCAUGAUUAAACUUGAAAUCCCUAUAGAUGCCAACUUGUGAUUUAUGUGAGAUGUCUGGAAUCAUCCUUUGCUGCAUAAAUAAAUUAGUGUAGGUCUAGAUAUACUUUUUUUUUUCCAUUAAAGAGUCUAUGUGUAUGCUAGUAGUAUGCACCGUCAUCAUUAUAAGAGCAUAUCUUGCAAAGUAAUUCUUAAUAUUUCCUUGAUCCUCUUAAUUCUUUGCAAGAUUUACCUUAAAAAUUCGACUGCAUGUUAAAAAAAAACAGUAUCUGAUCGCUAUCAAUUUAGUUGUUGGACUUUAAAUGUGGAAGGUUUAAGUAGACGGAAUACAAGAUAUGCUUGUUUGGGUUGGAAUUAAUAGAAUUGACUGCAUAUCACGUAUUCUUUAUACGGUGAAAAUCUGUGAUAUUAAUUUUCUUCAAAUAUGAAAGCUUGUGUGGGUGCUAUGGAGCAACACAUACAGAUGAAUAUAUAAGGUAGAUGUUUUAUUGACCGCCUACAAUGACUCUUGCGACAAUAAACUUUUAGCCAUUUACAAAAUGUAUAUUCUAUUAUGAAUCGGAAAAACAAAUAAUUAUUUUGUCAUAUUAUUAUAAACUCAUAAGAAUAAAGAUAUGUGGCUGUCAUUAUUUUCUCCAAUGACUUGCUUAUGAAUAUGUAUAUAAUUGAUGAUGGUGUUGACAAUGAAUUAAAGGUAUGAAGAUUUUUAAUUUGGAUUAUUGUCAACUUAUGUUAUCAUGCAUAAAUCUUAGGAUUAAUAGACUUGUUAUUGUCUAUGGUCCGUUUAUUCUAUUGUGAAAAUCAUGGAGUUUAAGAUGCAUGCUUAUUGUAUAUGUAUAUUUGUGAUUUCAUUUAUGAUGCAUGCUUCCACUAUUAUGUUUUGGUUGAAAUCACAUAUAGGGAGGAAGAUGAACUUUGAGUUCUCCAGAAGAAAUAGUGGUCUCGAUUAUCUCGUUUUAAUCAAGACAUUGUUGUGAUAUAUCUCCAGACAUUAUCAAGAUUUGGUUGAUCUUGUUCGAUGGAUAUUGAACUAGUUAGGAUCAAAUUGAAUGCAAAAAUAUUGUGCUUGCUAUUCUGAUUUUGAUCGUUGUUGAAAUUGGUGAUUUUGGGUUUAUAUGAGAUAAGUUUUUUUGAAUGGAUUGUGAUUAUCUUUUGAUACAUAGACUGUUUGCAUAAUGGUUUAGGUGUAUAUGACUAAAUUGAGAUUAUGCAAUUGGUGAGGAAUUGGGAACCAAUUGGUUCAUAUCUCCUGUUUCUUUAUUGGCUGUGCAAUACAUUCUGCUUAUGCUUACGUGGGAGAAUCAUAUGUUCGAAUGUAAGCAUAAGGCUAAGAGUAUUUAGGCCGGCCAUUAUAAUUCAUUUGGAUGCUUAAAAACCAGUUUAUGGUUUUAUUGAAGCAAUUGGUUGAAUUAUUUGUGUUACUUAAUUUGUUUAAGUAAUGAGAAGGAUCCUAUUAUGUUAGCAUUCAAAAGGAAAUGAAUUUGGUUUCCAUAUGGAUUCUGAUUAGUCAUUCAUUGUAUUGGAAUGAUUUUUAGAUAAUAUAGUUGCUAUUAACUUGUACUUAACUUGGUUGUGUUAAGUAUGACCUAGAUAAGUGGGAGCAAAUUGGUUUGGUUUUGCUAGCUAUACUGGUUCACAUAAUUACAAAGUGCAAAUUAAGUAUGUUGUGACUUUUGAGUUAAUUCUGCAACGUAAUAGAAAAUAUUCUUAAGUUCAAUACUUUAAAAUGCAUAGGUAAGUUGUAUGUGAGGUUAAGCUUUUGUCAUCCAAAAGAUUUGGUGAUCACUUAUAUGAUUAUGGCUGUAGUUUGUUAUAGAGCUUGUAUGGUUGCUCUUAAGGUGAGGGAAAAAGUGAAAGAAGGUGCCAUCAUUGUGGAACAUUUGGCCACUGAUUUCAUGAUUGUUGAUCCUUUAACCUAAGCCUUGCCAAAUGGAGUUUUCCAAGCUCAUAUUGCUCGAAUGGGAGUUGUGGAUGUUCUUAAUAAGUGGGAGUAAUGCACUAUGUGCAUUUGUGUUUUUGGUUCACCUACGUAUUGAAUGCAGAUCAGAUAUGUAGUGAUUGACGAAUUGUUUCUGUAAUGUACAUAUCAGAUUCUUGAGUCCUAUAUUUUGAAAUGCAUGGCUAUGAAGUAUGUGAAUGAGAGUUUUAGUCAAGACUUAGUGAUCACUUCUAUAAAUCUUAAAGACUGGUUGUUUGUGCUUCAUACUCAAGUGGGUGAAUGUAAGAUUAUGAGUAUGAAACAUAUACAAGAACUGGUUAUAGUGUUUGAGAUUGAUAUGGAAAAGUUUUGGUUAAAACUGUUUAGGUUGUCCUUAUUGUUUUAGGAUAACAGAGUUGAGAGAAGUUCUAAUUGGUUUUGGAAAAGAACUUAGUGUUGGAACUUCAUGAGGUCUCGUAAUUCUUUAUGGUUUGUAUGAGCUUGAAUCUCAGUCCAAUUCUGAUAGGGAAUGGAUAGAGGAACACUAUAUAUUUAUGGUUCAAACCACUGCUCUUGCGAUACUAGCUUAUGUUGUUCUAAGUCCUAUUGAUUAGAGAAGCUAUUAUGAUCGUAAAAGAGGAGAAGGUUUCAAACACAGAGGCUACAAUGGCUUCUUCAUUAGGAUCGAACGAUGCAGGUAUGUUCUAAAAGUUUUUGGUUCUUAAGUCUGUUAAAUGCAAAAUUUAGACUAGUUGUGAUUCAAUUGGAUGAAUUCUUGUUUCUUGGAUAAGUUGCUGCAAUUUUAUUCUUACAUAAAUUACAAAAACUACCUCAAUUAUAGGUCGAACCACAAUCUCAUAUUGCAUGUUUUAAACAUUGCAAUGUCAUACCUCAACUUAUAAAUUCAUUGCAAUGUCAUACCUCCGUUAAACUUUAUGUCAAUUUAGCUGUUAAAUGAUACGUGGCAGAAGUGGGAUCCACUCCUUCUCCAAUUGGAAUAAAAAGUCAAUUAAUUAGGUAAUAAUUAAUUUAUUUAUUUAUUAAAAAAUUAAUAAUUUAUAAUAACAAAUUAAUUAAAGAUUAAUAGUUUGGCUAUUAAAUGAUGACAUGGCGAAAGAGUGGGCCCCGUUUCUUGCCACGUCAUCAUUUAACCGUCAAAUUGACAGAAAACUUAACGGAGGUAUGACAUUAUAACGAAUUCAUAAGUUGAGGUAUGACAUUGCAAUGUAUUAAACAUGAGAUAUGACAUUGUGGUUCAACCCAUAGUUGAGGUAGUUAUGUGUAUUUUACCCAAAAAAUCAUUUAUUAAUCCCUAACCCGACCUAGUUUAAUCCAUGAACUCAACCCGGUUAUGUUAUCCUUUCUUAUUCUUAAUAACUGUCUGAACCAUGAAUUGUCUUUUGACUCAUCAAUUAGAUAGAUGAUUUUUAGUUUGUUCAAGAAACAAGCGAUCCCUUUUUCUCCAUAUUGAUAAAUCUCAGACGUAUUCUUCUCGUUUCAUCAACCGAAUGAGGAAGAAACAAAUAUCAUGAUGUAAGUCCAUUAUUCCUUGUAUCAUAGGUGUUGCUACGUCUUGAAAUCCUAAUUGACAUGGUGCCACUGCAUCACAAGGAACAAUUGUGAGGAAUAGCCAUUCUAGAACAAUCAUUUGGGUUGGUUCAAGGCCUAUCAAUCAAGUAAGCUCGAAACUUUUUUGAUUCAUCCUAUCCGCUCGGCUCAUCCCAAAUAGAUAUUAUAUCUUCCAGAUUUAGGAAUAUAAAUUCGAAUAAUAAGCUAGACUUUAUAUUUUGAAAAGAAUUGACUCGAAAUGCAAGAAAAGUAACUACUUCAUGGGGUAAAGUCUGUUAUUGUCUCUUCACUUAGGGUUGUGAAUCAGGGCCUAGCUGUUAAGAGAUAGGUGUAACUAGUGUUGUUGUCAUUAGUCCACCUAGUAACAAAUCAAUAAGAAAAGUGAAGGUAAAGCCCACCUCAAUCCCUUUCUGCCCUUGCAGGGGUGGAGAGACAUAAGGUUUGAGAAUUUAAAAGAAGGUUUCAGCGAGACGAGCGUCCUAAUUGUUCAUAUAGGAGCUAUAGCCAUUUCAUUCCUAUUCGUUGUUAUGAUGUUCCAUAUUCAAAUAGCGGAGAUUUAUGAAGAAAUAUUGUGCUAUUUACCUGUGAAUGGUAUUAUUGGACUGAUCCUUAGGUGGGAAAUGUUCUUCAGUUAGAUAAUGAAACCAUUCGUUUUGGUAGAACGCUAUAAAGAAUCUUUAUUUUGUUUUUCCUUUUAUUUCGAAUCGAGCUACAGUAAUUACAAGCUUAGCUAGCACCAUACCUAUAGUAUCUAUUCAAUGGUUGUAAGUUCAUUUCAUGCCGGACCAUACCAUAAUAGGAUUAUAUACAUUCUAAUUAUGAGUAGGGGUCAUUCAGGCGUAUCUAAAUAGGUACUAUGUUUACAUCUGGAUCCCUACGUCAUUACAUUCCAUUUAGGAUAAUGAGUAGGCGUAAUCGAACCUGCUUGUUACAUAUCUCUUGUUAUUUGGUGGGAAAUGUUCUUCAUUUGAGAUAAUGAAACCAUUUGUUUUGGUAGAAUGCUAUAAUGAAUCUUUAUUUUGUUUUUCCUUUUAUAUCGAAACGACUGUUGAGGAGCUACAGUAAUUACAAGCUUAGCUAACGUCAUACCUGCAGUGUCAAUUCCAUGGUUAUAAGUUCAUUCCAUACCGGACCAGACUGGAAUAGGAUUAUAUACAUUCUAAUUAUGAGAAGGGGUCAUUUGAGCCUAUCUAAAUAGGUUCUAUGUUUACAUUUGGAUCCCUACGUCAUUACAUUCCAUUUAGGACUAGGAAUAGGCGUAAUUGGACUUGUUUUUACGUAUCUCUCGUUAUUUGGUGGGAAAUGUUCUUCAUUUGAGAUAAUGAAACCAUUUGUUUUGGUAGAACGCUAUAAUGAAUCUUUAUUUUGUUUUUCCUUUUAUCUCGAAUCGACUAUUAAGGAGAUACAAUAAUUACAAGCUUAGCUAGCACUAUACCUGCAGUGUCGAUUCCAUGGUUAUAAGUUCAUUCCAUACUGGACCAGAACAGAAUAGGGUUAUAUACAUUCUAAUUAUGAGAAGGGGUCAUUCGAGCGUAUAUAAAUAGGUACUAUGAUUACAUCUGGAUCCCUACGUCGUUAUAUUCCAUUUAGGAUUAGGAAUAGGCGUAAUCAAACCUGCUUUUUACAUAUCUCUCGUUAUUUGGGAUGAUACCCUAUUCACCUCACCUCUUUGGGCUUCUAUUGAAUUGAGAUAUCAGUUUGAUUGUCCAUCUUUUUUAUAUAAUAGUAUAUAUUUUUUAUACAAUAUAUCAGGCAUUCUCUGGAUAGUUCAAAUUGAAGCAAGGAUGUUUGACUCGGCCCUGUAUGACAUGACUGACCAAUAGAAAUACUCUUAACAUUCCACGUUUGUCAUAUAUUCCAUAUAGCACCGAAUCAUGUUCUUGCUAGGUCUAAUUACAAUGAAAUAGCUUCACUAACUUGAACAACCUGAACUUUUCCUCCUAAAGGGCAUGCCUGACCCAAGCUACUAGGCUUAGAUUCGAACUUUUCCUCCUAAAGGGCAUGCCUGACCCAAGCUACUAGGCUUAGAUUCACUCUUCGCCUUUGCAGCUCUUCCUGAAGAAGCAGUUGUGGCAUCUUUACCAGCUAGUAAGCUAGCUAGAUAGAAGAGAUCUAUAUCUUUCUAUCGAUAGAUAGAUAUAUUGAGAAAUGAUCUGGUUUCAAGAUCUAUGAACAAGAGAUCCCUAAAUAUCUAUUUGAAAAAAAAGAUGAAUAGAUAGGGCGAAGCCAGCUGAAGGAAGGAGCUAAGAUUCACCUGCAAUCUUUCUAAAGCAACAAGCGAGAAACUUGACUUUGAGAAAGAAAACGCCUUCUAUUAUAAUGUAAAGGGGUAUUAGCCUAUCUAUAGUAAGGGCCCUUUUCUUGCUCGUUGGCCCUCGCAAUAAUAAAACUAAAGUUUCUCCUUUCUCUUUAAAUAAGCAAGUAAACUUUAAUUUGAAAACCUUACUUCUAAUGCGCUGAAAACCUUACUUCUAAUGCGCUCAAAGCAUUCGAGCUUCCCUUAUAUUAUAGAAAGGUUUGUUUUGUAGAAAGGGACUUCUAAAAAUAUCGCACAAAAUAAAUAAAAUAAGUAGGGGCUUCAAAGCUUGUUGUAGUUUAGGGGUGCACAUGUUUGGAACCCUAUACAGGGCGCACAAUGGCUUUCUCUGAAAGGGCCUCGCUUCUUCAAGUUACGCUUGCUGCUUUUCAUUUUUGUUAGGAGUAGGUGCUUGUUGCUCGUGAAGCCGUAGCUUGUUGUCUACGAAACGAGCCUUCACUGCCCGCUCAACCCCUGUCUCUAAUCUUAAGUAAAAUUAAGUAAAAUCAAUGAAGUGAACAGUCCAACCUCUUUUGUUUGAGACUUAAGCAUGUGUGGGGCUAAACUGCAUCAUAGUAAGAGGGCUCCAAGGUAAUUAAGGUACAACCAAGGCCAUUUCUUCAAGUUUUACAGUUCCAUUGCAUUAAUGAAUACGGCUGGAAAGACCUACACCUACUACCCUUCAUCAAACCUUCAUGUUUCCCUUUUAUGCUGAUGUCGUAAAUUGAUGCCUCGGAUUGCCCUAUCUAGUAAGGGCUUUCCUCCCGCAUAAGGAAGGUCAUUUGUGGCGGUCGAGUAGAGAUCUAUUUUCAAUCCCCCGAUUGGAUCAGAGGAAAACACCUACGAAAAGAUUGCUUGGAUUUAAGAAAGAUUCACUAGUAUUUCCGGCAAUUGCAAUGGCUUCUUUAUCUAUUUAUGUUUAAAAAAUAAAAAAAGAUUUUUUAGAUACAACAAGGACAAAUCUUAUAUAUUUAAUUUUUGUUUUUCAAGACUUACUUGGAUCAUAACACGGAUAUCUAUUUAGUAAAAUAUAGUAUAAUAUGCGGCUUCAUUAAGGCAUAAGCUCUUAUGUAUGGGCCAUUUUUCACUCUUUUAUAUACUAGGGGAUUUCACUUGGAAAAGAACAUGUUCCAUACUAAUGGAUUCAGGUCCAUGACAUCAUUUAUGAGGAGGCCGGACGACAAAGGCUCCUCAAUCCGACGCGGCAAGAACAACCAUUUGAAUUGUUAUUUUUUUGGGGGUGGGGGGACAAAAGAGGGAUGCUUUCUAUCAGUCAAAAGGCGUACACGAUGCUCCUUUGAUUCUGUUAUACUCGAGUCCUAUUUUCAUUUAUAUUGAAAGAAUCCACACCAGUAGAUGAUGGUUUAUGACCUCUAAUAAAAAAAUACAAAAACCUGAAUCUCUUAAAUUAUCAAAAAGCUACAUGUCCAAGCUCAAAUAUAUAUAUACAUAUUUGUGCACAUUUCUAUACCAAUUGUUCAUGCGUGUAUAUUACAUUGGUAUCUCGGGGUUUCCUUCGGGAUUUCCUUGUGUGUUCGACGAGGGUAGGCACCUGCGAGCGCAAAGUUGGAAAAUGUUACAACAGUGAGUAUGCAGAAAUAAUCAACAAUGACAGACAGAUGAUUGCAUUCUCUAUAAAACAUUAGCAUUUACGGAGCUAAAACGGCCAAGGAAAGAACAAACAAGGAAAAUGAAAAGACCAUCAACUGUCAUGAUAAAUAUUUCUGAUACAUUAAAUCACAGAUCAGCACGAAUCAUGAACAUCAAACUUGCAUUUCAGAAAUUCAAAAGCACAAUUCGCUAGACAGCAGUAAAUUAAUGCAAUUAAAUGACCAGGGGAAUAUGAACUUUACAGAUUCAUUCAUUGGCAAACACUAUUGAACAAUCUACCUUCAUUUCAUUCAAGAAUCAAGACUCCAGAGACAAUGUUUUAAAGGUACAGUAUAAAGGUCGUACCCAGUGCACAAGGCUCCCGCUUUACGCAGGGUCUGGGAGAGGUGAAUGUCGGCUAGCCUUACCCCCAUUUAUGGAGAGGCUGCUCCCAAGUCUCGAACCCGAGACCUACCGCUCAUGGGCGAAGGCACUUGCCAUCGCACCAAGUGCGACCUCUUUUAAAGGUACAGUAUACAUCUCGUAAAUAAACACAUAAUGUAUGAAGCGAAAGAUUGUGUUCUACUUUUUUAUUUUUUUAUACCCAGAAAUUCCCAAACAAACUUUGCAAACUCGGAUACGAAGCUGGGGACCCUCACGGGACCCAACAAUCUUUAGAGACAGGAACUUUUAGCAAAAUAGCUGGAUGAAUAUCUUCAAGAAUCAAGCCCAAGAAAAUGUGGGAGAAAGCCACACCUAAUCAUAUACUAAACCAACUGACACACUAACCAUUGGUUGGAAGAGAGUUCAUUCACAUAUCUAUGAGUGAUAAAAUAUCCAAGGUCAUGAUACAACAUAUGAAGGCCAAGCUCCCUUAUGAGCUCCACAUCUUUUUUCACACAUAUCCAUGCAUGGACACAAAUGUGUAGGGUGUGUGCACACGAGCGUGUAAUGAAGUUUAUUCAAGAAAACGAUCGGAUCAAUAUGACUGUAUAAAGAUAGAAAAUNNNNNNNNNNNNNNNNNNNNNNNNNNNNNNNNNNNNNNNNNNNNNNNNNNNNNNNNNNNNNNNNNNNNNNNNNNNNNNNNNNNNNNNNNNNNNNNNNNNNNNNNNNNNNNNNNNNNNNNNNNNNNNNNNNNNNNNNNNNNNNNNNNNNNNNNNNNNNNNNNNNNNNNNNNNNNNNNNNNNNNNNNNNNNNNNNNNNNNNNNNNNNNNNNNNNNNNNNNNNNNNNNNNNNNNNNNNNNNNNNNNNNNNNNNNNNNNNNNNNNNNNNNNNNNNNNNNNNNNNNNNNNNNNNNNNNNNNNNNNNNNNNNNNNNNNNNNNNNNNNNNNNNNNNNNNNNNNNNNNNNNNNNNNNNNNNNNNNNNNNNNNNNNNNNNNNNNNNNNNNNNNNNNNNNNNNNNNNNNNNNNNNNNNNNNNNNNNNNNNNNNNNNNNNNNNNNNNNNNNNNNNNNNNNNNNNNNNNNNNNNNNNNNNNNNNNNNNNNNNNNNNNNNNNNNNNNNNNNNNAGUCCAACCACCAUAAUUAAUUAAAUCCUAAUGACAGUAACCCAUCAUUAAUAAUAUGGAGGGAUUAGCAAUGAAAUGAAGCUAACCACAACAAAGGGCCUAGUGGUAAGGGUAUGGACUGCGGUUGCCCAAUAAACAAAACAAUGUGGGAGGUUUUGGGUUUUGAUGCUCCGAGCUGGUAAGUCUGCUUAACUGUAGUCACGAACAGAGUGAAAUUCUCUAAAAGAAAUGGAUAACCGUAACUUCUCACAUGUUGUCCUCAAAAAAGAAAAAGAAAAAAAAAGGCCAAUGAAAUGAAGCCCUUAUGCAACUAUAAAUGCAAUGUUACCAGUGCCUAGCUAGGAUAAGCAGCUCCUUAACAAUGGAAGAAAUCAAUCCAUCAUACAUUCUAUCAGAAGAAUACAGGCCUAAACACGUAAUCACCGAAGGCGAAGGAAUCCCGUUGAUCGAUCUCACUCCGAUAACCAACCGAGAAAUGUCAGCCGGCUCUAACAGUAAGGCAGUGGAAGAGCUUGCCGCUAAGAUAGGGGAGGCUUGCAGGACAUGGGGGUUCUUCACGGUGAUCAACCAUGGCGUGCCUUCGGAUAUUCGGAGAAGAAUUAUGGAGGCGUCGAGGAAGUUCUUCGCGCUGCCGCUGGAGGAGAAGAAGAAGGUGAGCAGAGAGGCUCAUAACACAGCAGGGUUUCAUAACGAUGAGCAUAGCAAAGACUUCAAGGACUGGAAAGAAGUUUAUGAUUUUUAUGUAAAUGAUGGGUGCUAAUGCCGGCUUCCCAUGAACCCGAUGACCCCGAAAUUGUUCCAUGGUACACUCCGUGGCCCGAGAACCUAUCCAAGUUCAGGUAAAUGUCCCUUACAAAAUACUAAUGUUAUGUAAAUUAUUAACAAUCUGACGACAUAACAUGUCAUGUAGGGAAACAUGUGAAGAAUAUGGUCGAGCAUGUGAGAAGUUGUUUUUCAAUCUGCUGGAACUGGUAAGCCUCAGCUUAGGCUUACCUCCUACGAGGUUGCAUGGAUACUUCGAGAAUCAGGCAAGCUUUGCCCGGCUCAACUACUACGCUCCGUGCCCCAAACCGGACCUUGUUCUUGGCACCGGUGGACAUAGGGACCCCAGCGCUCUUACCGUCCUUGCUCAAGAAGAUGUUGAAGGCCUCGAUGUGCUGCGAAAAUCAGACGGAGCGUGGGUUCGCGUCAAGCCUGUCCCGGAUUCCUUUGUCAUCAACGUUGG